GAAAACCUAGUCUCAGUUCGGAUUGGAGUCUGNAACCCGACUCCAUGAAGCUGGAUUCGCUAGUAAUCGCGCAUCAGCCACGGCGCGGUGAAUACGUUCCCGGGCCUUGUACACACCGCCCGUCAAGCCAUGGGAGCCGGGGGUACCUGAAGUGCGUAACCGCGAGGAUCGCCCUAGGGUAAAACUGGUGACUGGGGCUAAGUCGUAACAAGGUACC
rnacentral:rRNA from 1 species